CCCGUAGUGAUGAAAAAGAAACUUUCUAGGGGUUUUAUACUGUCUUUCUGAAAUCACUUCUUCAAUCCUAAUCUCACUACAGAUUAAAAAAUCAGAUUUUUUUUUUUUGGUUGGGAGAUUUAAUAACUGCAUGCAAGUCAAAAACUCUCAACUGUUUCAACCCUAGAGAUAUGAUUGAAAUAAAAUCUCAAACUUCUAGUCAACAAGUAGAUUAUGCUUCAUUUGGAAUCAUAUAAUCUAUAAGGAACUUAAAUUGAAGAGAAAUGAAAUAUCUCAAUACAAAUCCCACAAAAAUCAAAGACAAUCUGGGUAGAUUACACCACUUGUAAAUAAGGCAAAGAAUUAAAUAACCACCACCUGGCUUCUUCUGGUUCUCUUGAGAUCAACCGAGAGAAAGUUGAGAGAAGACUAGAAUGAAAAUAAAAUACAGAAUUAAAGAUAGACUUUUGUGUACGGACGUUGCACUAAGACAAAGUCUGGCAAAUAAGCUUUAUAGGUCUUUACUUUAGCUUAGAGAAGUUAGAAAUAAGAAUUUGGGGUUUGUUUUGGAAGGGGGGGAGGGGGGAAGAGAGUUGCGUGCGUGUCUACAUAUGAAUGUUCAGUUAAAGUGAGAAGAAUACUGAGAUGGGACCAAGGAGGUAAGGUUUAAUGUUCUGUUUCGCUGUUAAAUCUCGUCUCAACAAAUAAAGAAAAAGAAGCCAUAAUUUUCAGUUCAACAAACUCUGAGCAGACAAGAAAUUGGGAAUAAGUCUGUUGAAUCUCGAUUCAACAAAUAAAGAAAAAGAAGCCAUAAUUUUCAGUUCAACAAACUCUGAGCAUACAAGAAAUUGGAAAUAAGGACAAAAAAUUUGCUUCUCAAUAGGAUUCUACGUACCGUACUGUUAUCAAAAGUAAACUCUAAGAGAGACAGAAUUAAUGGACAAGUCAUAAUACUUUGAAAGUAGUAGCUAGGGGUCUAGCUAGUAAUAGGAGAUCAUAGGUGUUGUAUUUUUUUGUGGACCGCUAGGGAAUAUUGAAGAAGGAAGGGGUUGACGAGAAGACGGCGGCGGCGGUGGAGAGCUGCCGGCAGCAGGUGGAGGGUUGCCGUUGUCAACUGUUGUCAAAUGGGUUAUGUUUGAUGUGUCAGACUAAUCAGCUUAUUACUCAUUUUUUAUUCUCUCUCUCUACUUUUAGUUUUUCA
rnacentral:lncRNA from 1 species